rnacentral:rRNA from 1 species
AACGCGAAGAACCUUACCAAGGCUUGACAUAUACGAGAACGGGCCAGAAAUGGUCAACUCUUUGGACACUCGUAUACAGGUGGUGCAUGGUUGUCGUCAGCUCGUGUCGUGAGAUGUUGGGUUAAGUCCCGUAACGAGCGCAACCCUCGGCCUUAGUUGCCAGCGGUUAGGCCGGGAACUCAAAGGAGACUGCCAGUGAUAAACUGGAGGAAGGUGGGGAUGACGUC